CUCGGCUCCGCUCGGCUCCGCUCGGCCGCGCUCGGCUCCGCGGGGACGCGGCAGCCCGGAGCCGGCGCCAGGCAAAAGGCGGAGCGCGGAGCCCGGAGCGGAGCGGGGAGCGGCGGCGGCGGAGGGGAAAACGCGGGGCCGGAGCGCGGGAACGGCUUCGGACUACGAGGGGGGAACGGAAUCGGACGUCGGGCCGAAGUUCCUCGCGCUGAGCGCGGCGGGGCCCCGGCACUGCGGGCAGCCGGCCGGGGAGGCGCGCAGGGCCCGCGCGCGGCCGCGGGGAGCGGCUGGGGGCAAAGAUGGGAAGAUCCAUCUUCUCCAUAGGCAGAGAGGGCGCGUGACUGGGGACCGCUCUUUGGCCACACACGGCAGAGAUGCAGGCUGGGAACAUCGCUCCUUUUAAUGCCGCCCGAGGACGGACGCAGCACCGCGCGACGAGGCCGUGUCCGCGCCGCACCGGGUGCUGCCCGCCUUGUGCCCGCCGCUGCCCGCUCGCUCCGCCGGGCCCAGUCACGCCACAGCUUUCUGCUUCAUUAACCCCUUCUUCGCUCCCUGAUGGAUCUUUGAAUCCAGCUUCCAGAUUUUGGGCUUUCCUUUGAUGGGAAACUUCACAACCAUCUCCUGGGGAUUAGUGCAGAUAAAGACAAAUGGAGACCCAGAUUCCUGGCUCAAAUCCGGAUACUGCUCAUUAAAUUGCUCUUGCGAUAAACAAUCAGUUACAUCCACAC
rnacentral:lncRNA from 1 species